rnacentral:misc_RNA from 1 species
CUUUCAGCGGAGAACAGGCGUGAUGACUUUGGUGACGCCUAUUCAAGCGCCGCGCGGAUGUAUGGCAGAUGAACGGCAGAUAAAUGCCGGAACAACAUUCGCGUGAUGACGGUAACUUGCUGAGUUAGAANNNNNNNNNCGACGGAAUGCCGCCAGGCGCCGUUGAACUUCUCAAGCAGUUCCUCGGCGGGCGUAUGUCC